rnacentral:rRNA from 1 species
GACGAACGCUGGCGGCGUGCCUAAUACAUGCAAGUUGAGCGCUGAAGGUUGGUACUUGUACCAACUGGAUGAGCAGCGAACGGGUGAGUAACGCGUGGGGAAUCUGCCUUUGAGCGGGGGACAACAUUUGGAAACGAAUGCUAAUACCGCAUAAAAACUUUAAACACAAGUUUUAAGUUUGAAAGAUGCAAUUGCAUCACUCAAAGAUGAUCCCGCGUUGUAUUAGCUAGUUGGUGAGGUAAAGGCUCACCAAGGCGAUGAUACAUAGCCGACCUGAGGGGGUGAUCGGCCACAUUGGGACUGAGACACGGCCCAAACUCCUACGGGAGGCGGCAGUAGGGAAUCUUCGGCAAUGGACGAAAGUCUGACCGAGCAACGCCGCGUGAGUGAAGAAGGUUGUCGGAUCGUAAAACUCUGUUGGUAGAGAAGAACGUUGGUGAGAGUGGAAAGCUCAUCAAGUGACGGUAACUACCCAGAAAGGGACGGCUAACUACGUG